rnacentral:rRNA from 1 species
CACUCCUGCGGGAGGCAGCAGUGGGGAAUAUUGCACAAUGGGCGCAAGCCUGAUGCAGCCAUGCCGCGUGUGUGAAGAAGGCCUUCGGGUUGUAAAGCACUUUCAGCGGGGAGGAAGGCGAUACGGUUAAUAACCGUGUUGAUUGACGUUACCCGCAGAAGAAGCACCGGCUAACUCCGUGCCAGCAGCCGCGGUAAUACGGAGGGUGCAAGCGUUAAUCGGAAUUACUGGGCGUAAAGCGCACGCAGGCGGUCUGUCAAGUCGGAUGUGAAAUCCCCGGGCUCAACCUGGGAACUGCAUUCGAAACUGGCAGGCUUGAGUCUUGUAGAGGGGGGUAGAAUUCCAGGUGUAGCGGUGAAAUGCGUAGAGAUCUGGAGGAAUACCGGUGGCGAAGGCGGCCCCCUGGACAAAGACUGACGCUCAGGUGCGAAAGCGUGGGGAGCAAACAGGAUUAGAAACCCUUGUAGUCCCAUGAU